AUUGAACGCUGGCGGCAGGCCUAACACAUGCAAGUCGAACGGUAACAGAAAGCAGCUUGCUGCUUUGCUGACGAGUGGCGGACGGGUGAGUAAUGUCUGGGAAACUGCCUGAUGGAGGGGGAUAACUACUGGAAACGGUAGCUAAUACCGCAUAACGUCGCAAGACCAAAGAGGGGGACCUUCGGGCCUCUUGCCAUCGGAUGUGCCCAGAUGGGAUUAGCUUGUUGGUGGGGUAACGGCUCACCAAGGCGACGAUCCCUAGCUGGUCUGAGAGGAUGACCAGCCACACGGGAACUGAGACACGGUCCAGACUCCUACGGGAGGCAGCAGGGGGGAAUAUUGCACAAUGGGCGCAAGCCUGAUGCAGCCAUGCCGCGUGUAUGAAGAAGGCCUUCGGGUUGUAAAGUACUUUCAGCGGGGAGGAAGGGAGUAAAGUUAAUACCUUUGCUCAUUGACGUACCCGCAGAAGAAGCACCGGCUAACUCCGUG
rnacentral:rRNA from 1 species